rnacentral:tRNA from 1 species
GCCCGAGUGGCGAAAUUGGUAGACGCAAGGGACUUAAAAUCCCUCGGCCUUCGGCCGUGCCGGUUCGAUUCCGGUCUCGGGCACCA